ACCUGGGUUCAGGUCCCUGCUCUGCCUGAUUGGGAGCAGGCAUUUGAAUCCACCUGUGUUCUAGAUGAACCCCCUAAGCACCAGGCUGUUGGCUAUUCUGGGGCAUGUCUUUCUCAAUUUCUCCUUUGGAAGCAGUUCCCCAUCAUAUAAGUAGUGGACCAGUGGCUGGAGCUCCCAUAUUUCAGGCUGCUGGAGACCCCACAGCCCUACUACACCGUCAUCCUAGGAAAGGAGCAGCAAAGGCGGAUCCUCCAGGCCUGGCUAGAGUAGAGGCUGCAUGAAACCAUCCAAUCAGAGCUCAGCAGCCUCAGAAAAAAGGAGCUGCAAGGGUUUAGCUGCUCAGUUCCUGGAUAGGACUGGGGCAGCCACUGAUUUCAGCACUGUGAAACCUAUCAAAGGCUGAGCCUGAACUCACUAUUUGCCUAAGUAGGUGCUGGGAGGAAGCAGGAGGAAAAACAUAAGGAUUGGUUGGAACACUGACAAAAGACCACAUCAAAACAAACCCAAGUUUCCUGUGACCCUGUUAGCCUUUUGUAACAGCUGAAUAAAGGCCAAGUGUAUUACAUCAUGAAAGUCCAGAAAGCCCCUCCAACUUCAUGCAGAAGAAAAUGCAGUAUUAAAUUAUGCAAGAGGACUUCAGGAGACCAUUUAGGCUCCGAUUUAGACCAUCUGCUUGUCAAAUGUCUUGUCAGUAUAUAUUCAUAUUAACAAAAUCUUUUUCCAUCAUGAGUGAUGGGUCUGAUGACUGAUCAAGACAAAGAAGUGCCAGUGAUACUGAUGUAUCCCCAAAGGUUCUGCCAGUGAUUAAAUACAAGUUUGAAUUUAGCUGAUGUCAGGGUUGUUGUGACUUUCCAAACCUGGAAAAUAAACACACGCACAGACACACACCUCUCCCUUUCUUCUCCCCCCAAAAGAAGAGACCACUGUGAAAAUGCACCGGUGGCUUAUGAAAUGAAUGCACAAGCACCUACUUUGUAAGUAUACUUACACUUUUUCCAAAAUAAAAAGUUUGCAGUUCUGUACGUAAAACACAAGAGCAUACAGUCAAGUCCCCCAGUCGACUUACUAGUUAUAGGUUUAACUGUUUUAUACCUGCCCCAUUUUUGCCAACUCAUUUUUCCACACUUAGCUUAUUAAGAAGUUUUGAUCAAAUCAAUUGGAAUAUGUUAAACACAAUGGAUGCUGAGCUGGCUGUACAA